rnacentral:rRNA from 1 species
AAUACGUAGGGGGCAAGCGUUGUCCGGAAUCAUUGGGCGUAAAGAGCGCGUAGGCGGUCCGGUAAGUCCGCUGUAAAAGUCAAAGGCUCAACCUUUGAAAGCCGGUGGAUACUGCCGGGCUAGAGUCCGGAAGAGGCGAGUGGAAUUCCUGGUGUAGCGGUGGAAUGCGCAGAUAUCAGGAGGAACACCUAUGGCGAAGGCAGCUCGCUGGGACGGUACUGACGCUGAGGCGCGAAAGCGUGGGGAGCAAACAG